rnacentral:rRNA from 1 species
UCCUACGGGAGGCAGCAGUAGGGAAUAUUGGGCAAUGGGCGAAAGCCUGACCCAGCGACGCCGCGUGAGGGAUGAAGGUCUUCGGAUUGUAAACCUCUUUCAGUAGGGAAGAAGCGAAAGUGACGGUACCUAAAGAAGAAGCACCGGCUAACUAUGUGCCAGCAGCCGCGAUAAUA